GACGAACGCUGGCGGCGUGCCUAAUACAUGCAAGUAGAACGCACAGUUUAUACCGUAGCUUGCUCCACCAUAGACUGUGGGUUGCGAACGGGUGAGUAACGCGUAGGUAACCUGCCUGGUAGCGGGGGAUAACUAUUGGAAACGAUAGCUAAUACCGCAUAAUAUUAAUUAUUGCAUGAUAAUUAAUUGAAAGGUGCAAUUGCACCACUACCAGAUGGACCUGCGUUGUAUUAGCUAGUAGGUGAGGUAACGGCUCACCUAGGCGACGAUACAUAGCCGACUCGGAGAGGAUGUCGGGCACCCCUGGAAUGGAGCCCCGCCCAGGCCCCCUCGGGGGGCAGCCGGUGGGGAACUUCGGAAAUAGACGGAAGUCUGGCCGAGCCACGCCGCGGGGGUGGAGGAGGUUGUCGGAUCGUUAAGCUCUGUUUGUAGAGAAGAACGGGUGUGAGGGUGGAAAGUUCACACUGUGACGGUAUCUUACCAGAAAGGGACGGCUAACUACGUG
rnacentral:rRNA from 1 species